rnacentral:rRNA from 1 species
UACGUAGGGGGCAAGCGUUGUCCGGAUUUAUUGGGCGUAAAGAGCGUGUAGGCGGCCAUGCAGGUCCGUUGUGAAAACUCGAGGCUCAACCUCGAGACGUCGAUGGAAACCACCUGGCUAGAGUCCGGAAGAGGAGAGUGGAAUUCCUGGUGUAGCGGUGAAAUGCGCAGAUAUCAGGAAGAACACCCGUGGCGAAGGCGGCUCUCUGGGGACGGUACUGACGCUGAGGCGCGAAAGCUAGGGGAGCAAACGGG